rnacentral:rRNA from 1 species
AGCAGCCGCGGUAAUUCCAGCUCCAAUAGCGUAUAUUAAAGUUGUUGCAGUUAAAAAAGCUCGUAGUUGAAUUUCGGAGUUUAUCGGUUGGUCGGGCUUCACUGUCCGCACUGACCUGAUGGAUUCCUACCUUCUGAAUAACCAGCAUGCUACUAAGUUAGUGCGUUGGGGAAGG